AGAGUUUGAUCCUGGCUCAGAACGAACGUUAGCGGCGCGCCUAACACAUGCAGGUCGAACGCGACGGGGGCAACUCCGUUGAGUGGCGCACGGGUGAGUAACACGUAGGUAAUCUUCCCUCGAGUGGUGGAUAACCCUCCGAAAGGAGAGCUAAUACAGCAUGAGACCACGGUUUCAAAUAGGAACUGAGGUCAAAGCGGAGGAUCGCAAGACUUCGCGCUUGAGGAUGAGCCUGCGGCCCAUCAGGUAGUUGGCGGGGUAAUGGCCCACCAAGCCUAAGACGGGUAGCUGGUCUGAGAGGAUGAUCAGCCACACUGGAACUGAGACACGGUCCAGACUCCUACGGGAGGCAGCAGUGGGGAAUCUUGCGCAAUGGGCGAAAGCCUGACGCAGCGACGCCGCGUGGGUGAUGAAGGCCUUCGGGUUGUAAAGCCCUGUGAAGAGAGAAGAAUAUGUUUUGGUUAAUACCCGAAGCGAUGACGGUAUCUCCUUAGCAAGCACCGGCUAACUCUGUGCCAGCAGCCGCGGUAAGACAGAGGGUGCAAUCGUUGUUCGUAAUUACUGGGCGUAAAGCGCGUGUAGGUGGCCAAGCAAGUCGGAUGUGAAAGCCCUCGGCUCAGCCGGGGAAGUGCACUCGAAACUGCGUGGCUAGAGU
rnacentral:rRNA from 1 species